AUCGUUGGAGGGAAAAGAUCCACCAUGCAUUGAUAAUUGAUCAUAACUGACUCGUGAUUCACCAAAGUGAACAAAGAUAGGAGCAAGCAGCAACUUGACAAACAAUUCUGGCUUGGAUCCACCAUCUUUAGAUAAAUCAAGUGUCAACUCUUUGACCUCAACGGUAGCUUUUGGUGUCUUCACAACAACCUCAGUCACUGAAACCGACAAAAAUCUGGCCAUA
rnacentral:misc_RNA from 1 species